rnacentral:rRNA from 1 species
CAAUAGCGUAUAUUAAAGUUGUUGCAGUUAAAAAGCUCGUAGUUGGAUUUCUGGUGGGAGCGAUCGGUCUGGCGCUUAGCGCGAGUACUUGCAUCGUCUCCGGCCAUCCUUGGGGAGAGUCUGUCUGGCAUUAAGUUGUCGGGCAGAGGAUCCUCAUCGUUUACGGUGAAAAAAUUAGAGUGUUCAAAGCAGGCUUAUGCCGUUGAAUAUAUUAGCAUGGAAUAAUAAGAUAGGACUUUGGUACUAUUUUGUUGGUUUGCGCACCAAAGUAAUGAUUAAUAGGGACAGUUGGGGGUAUUCGUAUUCCGUUGUCAGAGGUGAAAUUCUUGGAUUUACGGAAGACGAACUACUGCGAAAGCAUUUACCAAGGAUGUUUUCAUUAA